GGGCCUGUAGCUCAGUUGGGAGAGCAUCGCGUUCGCAUCGCGGGGGUCGCCGGUUCGAGUCCGGCCAGGUCCACCA
rnacentral:tRNA from 1 species